rnacentral:rRNA from 1 species
AACGAACGCUGGCGGCAUGCCUAACACAUGCAAGUCGAACGAGACCGCCGGGUUUAGUGGCGCACGGGUGCGUAACGAGUGGGAACCUGCCCUUAGGGUCGGAAUAACUCUCCGAAAGGGGUGCUAAUACCGGAGAAUGUCUUCGGACCAGAGAUCUAUCGCCUUUGGAUGGGCCCGCGUUGGAUUAGCUAGUUGGUAGGGUAAAAGCCUACCAAGGCGACGAUCCAUAGCUGGUCUGGGAGGAUGAUCAGCCACACUGGGACUGAGACACGGCCCAGACUCCUACGGGAGGCAGCAGUGGGGGAUAUUGGACGAGGGGCGGAGGCCUGAACCAGCGAUGCCGCGUGAGUGAUGAAGGCCUUAGGGUUGUAAAGCUCUUUUACCCGGGAUGAUAAUGACGGUACCGGGAGAAUAAGCGCCGGCUAACUCCGUG